rnacentral:rRNA from 1 species
AUGUCGGUGACGGGGACAUCCGUGGCGGCGGCGGCCACCAUGCUGGCCGCGGCGGCCGCCAUCUUCAUCACCUUCGUCGUCUGCUUCUACCUCUUCCUCUGCGCCAAGCGCUACCGGGGCGCCGCGCCCGCAAUCGGCGGCGGCGGCGGCGCGGGAGCGGACGGCAGGGGCCGGGGGCCGCGGUUCGUCUUCGGGGGCCCCUGCCACGGGCGGGGCCUGGACGAGACGGCCAUCGUGGCGCUGCCGCGGAGGGAGGUCGCCCAGGGGGACCCCGCGGCCGACUGCGCCGUCUGCAUCACGGAGCUCGCCGCCGGGGACGCCGCGCGCCUGCUGCCGCGGUGCGGCCACUCGUUCCACGUGGAGUGCGUCGACAUGUGGCUCCGCUCGCACUCCACCUGCCCGCUCUGCCGGUGCGCGGUCGCCGACGAGGCGCCGACCGUGCAGCCCCCCGAGGCCGAUCCGGAGUCGCCCAUCUUCCCCACCAACGUGCUCUUCUUCGGCUCCCAGGACACCGUGGCAACCGGCGGCACGCCGCGGCAGCCGGUGGGACCGCAGGCACCUCAGCCCUCCCAGGGCCCGAUCGCCGGCGUCGCGGCCGUGGUCGAGGCGGCGAGAGUAGCGGCCCUCCGGCGGCUGCUCGGCUGCGGCGGCGCGACGCCCCCGCCACCACCGCCGCCGCAGCCAGGCCACGACCUGGAGAUGGGCCCCGCCCAGGCCGACGGCGAGAGCAGCACGCCGCGGCCGGCGAAACCGCAGCCAGGUUCUUGA